GAAGCUUCUACUUCUUACCCAACGCCGCCGUCACAUGACCCUCACCUCGCUUUGAAGAAGAAACCGUCUCCGGGUCACUUCCUGUCUGCCGACGAGCAAACUCGAGGAGGAGCGACUCCGGUGUGACGGAGAUAUUAAAAAGCUCCUAACAAACAUCUACAGGUCUUUAUAAAAACACACCGAGCAAAGUGAGAGCAUCUCUAGAGGUCCGUCAGAGGAUGAACGAGGUGGGACGGAGGCAGGAAGUGGAGGCGGAGCUGUGGCGGCCGACGCCCCCAAUUUCAAUAUUUGCCAAAUUUUUUGAUGAGGAGACCGAGAGAAGCAACGCUCGGUCUGACGAAGUGACACUGUAGCCAGCAAAAGGGAGGAAGUGCCUCGGAGGUCUUUUAUUUUGGAGCGUAAAGCAGCAGGAAGUCCUGAUGAGAUCUUUUAACGUGGGGGGGAAGCUGUUUUUGAUAAGAAUAUUAAAUCUGUUAUCAAAACAAUAUUAUGUUAUUCUCCAUAUUUAGUCCAGGUCAAAACGAGUCCAGGUCAUAAUGAGUCCAGGUCAUAAGGAGUCCAAGUCAUGACGAUUCCAGAUCGUAAUGAUUCCAGAUCGUAAUGAUUCCAGGUCAUAAGGAGUCCAUGUCAUAAGGAGUCCAAUUCAUAACGAGUCCAGGUCAGAAGGAGUCCAAGUCAUAAGGAGUCCAAGUCAUAACGAGUCCAGGUCAGAAGGAGUCCAAGUCAUAACGAGUCCAGGUCAUAAGGAGUCCAAUUCAUAACGAGGCCAG
ensembl:lncRNA